UACGUAGGGGGCAAGCGUUGUCCGGAUUCAUUGGGCGUAAAGAGCUCGUAGGCGGCUUGGCAAGUCGGGUGUGAAAACUCCAGGCUCAACCUGGAGACGCCACCCGAUACUGCCAUGGCUUGAGUCCGGUAGGGGACCACGGAAUUCCUGGUGUAGCGGUGAAAUGCGCAGAUAUCAGGAGGAACACCGGUGGCGAAGGCGGGUCUCUGGGCCGAUACUGACGCUGAGGAGCGAAAGCGUUGGGAGCGAACAGG
rnacentral:rRNA from 1 species